CAGCAGCCGCGGGAAUACGUAGGUGGCAAGCGUUGUCCGGAAUUAUUGGGCGUAAAGCGUGCGCAGGCGGUUAUAUAAGUCAGAUGUGAAAUCCCCGGGCUCAACCUGGGAACUGCAUUUGAGACUGUAUGGCUAGAGUGUGUCAGAGGGGGGUAGAAUUCCACGUGUAGCAGUGAAAUGCGUAGAUAUGUGGAGGAAUACCGAUGGCGAAGGCAGCCCCCUGGGAUAACACUGACGCUCAUGCACGAAAGCGUGGGGAGCAAACAGGAUUAGAUACCCCAGUAGUCCCUGUCUCUUAUAC
rnacentral:rRNA from 1 species